CACGUAGGGCGCGAGCGUUGUCCGGAAUUAUUGGGCGUAAAGAGCUCGUAGGUGGCCUGUUGCGUCCGCUGUGAAAGCCCGGGGCUUCACCCCGGGUCGGCAGUGGAUACGGGCAGGCUAGAGGUAGGUAGGGGAGAAUGGAAUUCCCGGUGUAGCGGUGAAAUGCGCAGAUAUCGGGAGGAACACCGGUGGCGAAGGCGGUUCUCUGGGCCUUACCUGACGCUGAGGAGCGAAAGCGUGGGGAGCGAACAGG
rnacentral:rRNA from 1 species